rnacentral:rRNA from 1 species
UGGGGAAUUUUGGACAAUGGGCGAAAGCCUGAUCCAGCAAUGCCGCGUGUGUGAAGAAGGCCUUCGGGUUGUAAAGCACUUUUGUCCGGAAAGAAAUCCUUGGCUCUAAUACAGUCGGGGGAUGACGGUACCGGAAGAAUAAGCACCGGCUAACUACGUGCCAGCAGCCGCGGUAAUACGUAGGGUGCAAGCGUUAAUCGGAAUUACUGGGCGUAAAGCGUGCGCAGGCGGUUUGCUAAGACCGAUGUGAAAUCCCCGGGCUCAACCUGGGAACUGCAUUGGUGACUGGCAGGCUAGAGUAUGGCAGAGGGGGGUAGAAUUCCACGUGUAGCAGUGAAAUGCGUAGAGAUGUGGAGGAAUACCGAUGGCGAAGGCAGCCCCCUGGGCCAAUACUGACGCUCAUGCACGAAAGCGUGGGGAGCAAACAGGAUUAGAUACCCUGGUAGUCCACGCCCUAAACGAUGCCAACUAGUUGUUGGGGAUUCAUUUCCUUAGUAACGUAGCUAACGCGUGAAGUUGACCGCCUGGGGAGUACGGUCGCAAGAUUAAAACUCAAAUGAAUUGACGGGGUCAUAGCUGUUUCC